CCUCCCACGACAUUCUACCUUCCUCUCCUGCACUCGCAGAAGAAGCACCGGCUAACUCCGUGCCAGCAGCCGCGGUAAUACGGAGGGUGCAAGCGUUAAUCGGAAUUACUGGGCGUAAAGCGCGCGUAGGUGGCUUGAUAAGUCCGGUUGUGAAACGCCCGGGCUCAACCUGGGAACGGCAUCCGGAACUGUCAGGCUAGAGUGCAGGAGAGGAAGGUAGAAU
rnacentral:rRNA from 1 species